rnacentral:rRNA from 1 species
GGGGAAUAUUGCACAAUGGGGGAAACCCUGAUGCAGCGACGCCGCGUGAAGGAAGAAGUAUCUCGGUAUGUAAACUUCUAUCAGCAGGGAAGAAAAUGACGGUACCUGACUAAGAAGCCCCGGCUAACUACGUGCCAGCAGCCGCGGUAAUACGUAGGGGGCAAGCGUUAUCCGGAUUUACUGGGUGUAAAGGGAGCGUAGACGGAUGGACAAGUCUGAUGUGAAAGGCCGGGGCUCAACCCCGGAGCUGCAUUUGAAACUGCUCGGCUAGAGUACAGGAGAGGCAGGCGGAAUUCCUAGUGUAGCGGUGAAAUGCGUAGAUAUUAGGAGGAACACCAGUGGCGAAGGCGGCCUGCUGGACUGUUACUGACACUGAGGCACGAAAGCGUGGGGAGCAAACAGGAUUAGAUACCCUGGUAGUCCACGCCGUAAACGAUGAGUGCUAGGUGUCGGGGAGGAAUCCUCGGUGCCGCAGUUAACACAAUAAGCACUCCACCUGGGGAGUACGACCGCAAGGUUGAAACUCAAAGGAAUUGACGGGGGCCCGCACAAGCGGUGGAGCAUGUGGUUUAAUUCGAAGCAACGCGAAGAACCUUACCAAGGUUUGACAUCCCUCUGACGUAUAUAGAGAUAUAUAUUUUCUUCGGAACAGAGGAGACAGGUGGUGCAUGGUUGUCGUCAGCUCGUGUCGUGAGAUGUUGGGUUAAGUCCCGCAACGAGCGCAACCCUUAUCAUUAGUAGCCAGCAAGUGAAGUUGGGCACUCUAAUGAGACUGCCGUGGAUAACACGGAGGAAGGUGGGGAUGACGUCAAAUCAUCAUGCCCCUUAUAUCUUGGGCUACACACGUGCUACAAUGGCUGGUACAAAGAGAAGCGAGACCGCGAGGUGGAGCAAAACUCAUAAAACCAGUCCCAGUUCGGAUUGUAGUCUGCAACUCGACUACAUGAAGCUGGAAUCGCUAGUAAUCGCAGAUCAGAAUGCUGCGGUGAAUACGUUCCCG